AGAGUUUGAUCCUGGCUCAGAACGAACGUUGGCGGCGUGGAUUAGGCAUGCAAGUCGAACGAAUCCCUGGGGGCUUGCUCCCAGGGGGAAGUGGCGAAAGGGGCAGUAAGGCGUGGGUAACCUACCCUGGGGACCAGGAUAGCCACCCUAACGGGUGGGUAAUACUGGGCGAUUUGACGAAGACGCAUGUUUUUGUCAGGAAAUGAAUUUCGCCUCGGGAGGGGCUCACGUGGUAUUAGCUAGUUGGUGAGGUAACGGCUCACCAAGGCCAAGAUGCCUAGCGGGUGUGAGAGCACGACCCGCGCCACUGGCACUGAGACACUGGCCAGACUCCUACGGGAGGCUGCAGUCGAGGAUCUUCGGCAAUGGGCGCAAGCCUGACCGAGCGACGCCGCGUGUGCGAUGAAGGCCUUCGGGCUGUAAAGCACUGUCGAGGGGGAGAAAAGCCCGCAAGGGUCUGAUCUAUCCCUGGAGGAAGCACGGGCUAAGUUCGUGCCAGCAGCCGCGGUAAGACGAACCGUGCGAACGUUGUUCGGAAUCACUGGGCUUAAAGGGCGCGUAGGCGGGCAAGCAAGUCCGGGGUGAAAUCUUUCGGCUUAACCGGAAAAGUGCCUUGGAUACUGCUUGUCUGGAGGGAGGUAGGGGCAUGUGGAACUUCCGGUGGAGCGGUGAAAUGCGUUGAUAUCGGAAGGAACGCCGGUGGCGAAAGCGACGUGCUGGACCUCUUCUGACGCUGAGGCGCGAAAGCUAGGGGAGCGAACGGGAUUAGAUACCCCGGUAGUCC
rnacentral:rRNA from 1 species